AGUUUCAACACCAAGUGAAUACCUCUGACAUGGAAAUUAAAGUUUUAACCAAGAGACUCCAAGCUAAGGCUAAUAUUAAGCCAGAAAGAGGAAGUUAUUAAAGGAAUGAGCGGCCGACUCUGGAGCCCAAGCUGUUGCUUCCCAUCUGGUGGUGAGGCCUCCACUGUCUGGUGAGUGCAAUGUCCGAUGCUAGAGCCCAGGCUGUUGCUUCCCACUCUGGUAGUGAAUCCUCCAUAGUCUGCCACCAGAAAACGCUAUGACUUUGGGGAGAGAAAGAGAUCAUGGCUUCCGAACAAGAUAAACAAGCAGUGCAACUGGCCCUGGAUCUAUGACCCAUUUGGGAUGGUCCCGUAGAACUGCAAGUAACUGUCCUAGAUCAACAUGCUAAUUGGAGCCUUAGGCAGAAACAAGAUGGGAAGAGGUACAUUUCUGGUUUUGGACCCAGAAACUGCCAGAGGCCAGCAAAGCUUAUAACCCUUUCGAGGAGCAAUUGUUAGCUUGCUAUUGGGCUUUGCUGGAAACGAAACACCUCUGCUUCAACCAUGAUGUCUUUAUGAGGCUUGAAAUUCCUAUUAUGACUUGGGUCAUGAGUUCCCCCGAAACUCACCAGAUAGGGCACGCCAAGGGGGAGAACUGGGGGAGUUUCCAUUCCGGGAUUUGGGACGUCCCCAAGUUUCCAGCCUUGGGCUCCAGAGUCAGACACCGCACUCUCCAGGCUGGAAGAUUCUCCACCAGGCCAGGAAGCAACAGCAUGGGUUCCAGAGUGGGACACCCGCACUCACCAGACUAUGAAGGACUCACCACCAGACCAAGAAGCAACAGCCUGAGCUCCAGAGUCAGACACCACCCUCAUCAGACUGUGGAGGAUUCACCACCAGACAGGGAAGCAACAGCCUGGGCUCCAGAGUUGGCCACUCGUCCGUGCACAGACGAGGAGAGGUCUCAUGAAGCUUCGGUGCAGUCUGGGACCACAGCUCUUUAGUAACGAGUUGUUUGGCAUAAAGCCCAGUCACAGGGCUCUUCAGGACAGGGCUUAAGGAACACAAAAAGGGCCUGAGGGGCGGGACCUAAAGCAUUAUCCAAUCAGAGACGCUGGGCUGGAAACCGUCCAAUCAGGCACGCAGCUGGAGCGACGAGGACGGCUUUCCGCUUUUGGCGCGGCCUUUGUCUCUAGCUGCAGCCGGCGUUUCAGGUCUCGUCUUCACUGGUCUGUGUCCUAUUCUCCUGGAGGCCCAGCCUCUGUGGCCCUGUGACCUGCAGGUAUUGGGAGAUCCACAGCUAAAACCCCAGGACACCCUGGAAGCAUAGAAAUGUUCUUCAGACAAUCAGUAAAAACAAACUUCUCCAAGCUAAAGGAGGAUGUUCGAAUCCAUCAUAAAGAAGCUGGAAACCUUGAAAAAAGAUUAGAUGAAUGGCUAACUAUAAUAGACAGUGUAGAGAAGACCUUAAAUGACCUGAUAGAGCUGAAAACCAUGGCCCAAAAACUACGUGAUGAAUGCAGAAGCUUGAGUAUCCAAUGUGAUCAACAGGAAGAAAAAGUAUCAGUGAUUGUUAAAAUGAAUGAAAUGAAGCAAGAAGAGAAGUUUAGAGAUAAAAUAAUAAAAAGAAAUGAACAAAGCCUCCAAGAAAUAUGGGACUAUGUGAAAAGACCAAAUCUACGUCUGAUUGGUGUACCUGAAAGUGAUGGGGAGAAUAGAACCAAGUUGGAAAACACUCUGCAGGAUAUUAUCCAGGAGAACUUCCCCAACCUAGCAAGGCAGGCCGACAUUCAAAUUCAGGAAAUACAGAGAACGCCACAAAGAUACUCUUCGAGAAGAGCAACUCCAAGACACAUAAUUGUCAGAUUCACCAAAGUUGAAAUGAAGGAAAAAAUGUUAAGGGCAGCCAGAGAGAAAGGUCGGGUUACCCACAAAGGGAAGCCCAUCAGACUAACAGUGGAUCUCUCGGCAGAAACUCUACAAGCUAGAAGAGAGUGGGGGCCAAUAUUCAACAUUCUUAAAGAAAAGAAUUUUCAACCCAGAAUUUCAUAUCCAGCCAACCUAAGCUUCAUCAGUGAAGGAGAAAUAAAAUCCUUUACGGACAAACAAAUCCUGAGAGAUUUUGUCACCACCAGGCCUGCCUUACAAGAGCUCCUGAAGGAAGCACUAAACAUGGAGAGGAACAACUGGUACCAGUCACUGCAAAAACAUGCCAAAUCGUAAACACCAUCAAUGUUAGGAAGAAACUGCAUCAACUAACAAGUAAAAUAACUAGCUAACAUAAUGACAGGACCAAAUUCACACAUAACAAUAUUAACCUUAAAUGUAAAUGGGCUAAAUGCUCCAAUUAAAAGACACAGACUGGCAAAUUGGAUAAAGGGCCCAGACCCUGGCAGGUGCAGUGGCUCACACCUGUAAUCCCACCACUUUGUGAGGCUGAAGUGGGCAGAUCACGAGGUCAGGAGAUCGAGACUAUCCUGGCUAACACAGUGAAACCCCAUCUCUAGUAAAAAUACAAAAAAUUAGCCAGGCAUGGUGGCAGGCACCUGUAGUCCCAGGCACUUGGGAGGCUGAGGCAGGAGAAUGGCAUGAACCUGGGAGGCAGAGCUUGCAGUGAGCCAAGAUCAUGCCUCUGUACUCCAGCCUGGGCAACAGAGACCCAUCUCAAAAAAAAAAAAAGAGUCAAGACCCACCAGUGUGCUGUAUUCAGGAGAUCCAUCUCAUGUGCAGAGACACACAUAGGCUGAAAAUAAAGGGACGGAGGAAGGUCUCUGAAGCAAAUGGAAAACAAAAAAAAAAAGCAGGGGUUGCAAUCCUAGUCUCUGAGAAAAACAAGACUUUAAACCAACAAAGAUCAUAAAAGACAAAGAAGGCCAUGACAUAAUGGUAAAGGCAUCAAUUCAACAAGAAGAGCUAACUAUACUAAAUAUAUAUGCACCCAAUACAGGAGCACCCAGAUUAAUAAAGAAAGCCCUUAGAGACCUACAAAGAGACUAAGACUCGCACACAAUGAUAAUGGGAGACUUUAACACCCCACUGUCAACAUUAGACAGAUCAAUGAGACAGAAAGUUAACAAGGAUAUCCAGGAAUUGAACUCAGCUCUGCACCAGCCAGACCUAAUAGACAUCUACAGAACUCUCCACCCAAAAUCAACAGAAUAUACAUUCUCAGCACCACAUUGCACUUACUCCAAAAUUGACCACAUAAUUGGAAGUAAAGCACUCCUCAGCAAGUGUAAAAGAACAGAAAGUAUAACAAACUAUCUCUCAGACCACAGUGCAAUCAAACUAGAACUCAGGAUUAAGAAACUCACUCAAAACUGCUCAACUACAUGGAAACUGAACAACCUGCUCCUGAAUGACUACUGGGUACAUAAUGAAAUGAAGGCAGAAAUAAAGAUGUUCUUUGAAACCAAUGAGAACAAAGACAGAACAUAACCAGAAUCUCUGGGACACAUUUAAAGCAGUAUGUAGAGGGAAAUAUAUAGCACUAAAUGUCCACAAGAGAAAGCAGGAAAGAUCUAAAAUUGACACCCUAACAUCACAAUUAAAAGAACUAGAGACGCAAGAGCAAACACAUUCAAAAGCUAGCAGAAGGCAAGAAAAAACUAAGAUCAGAGCUGAUUUUUUUUAAUGGGUUUCAUUGAUGUUAUUGCAGAGGACAUGAUUUUUUUUAAUGGCCAUGGAGUAUUCCAUGAUUAUGUGCCAUAUUUUGUUUUUUACUACAUCUUUUAUUUUAUUUUAUCUUUGGAUGCAGGGUCUCACUUAUUGCCCAGGCUAGAUUACCAUGGUGUGAUUUUGGCUUACUUUAGUCUCAGCCUCCCAGGCUCAAGCAAUUCUCCCUUACCUCAUCUUCUCAAGUAGCUGGGACUACACGUGUGCGUUACUAUGGCUGGCCACUUUUUCUUUUUGUAUUUUCCAUGUAGACAAGAUUUUGCUAUUUUUUUCAGGCUGGUUUCAAACUUCUAAGCUCAGGCAGUCCACCUGCCUUGGCCUUCCAAAGCUCUAGGAUUGAAGGCAUGAGCCACCGCUUCUGACCAUACCAUAUUUUCUUUAUUGAUGGGCAUUUAGGUCCUGUCCAUGUCUUUGCUACUGUGAAUAGUGCUGCAAUGAACAUGCAUAGCAUGCAUAUGGAUGCGUCUUUAUAAUAAUUUAUAUUUCUUUUGGUAUAUACCCAAUUAUCAGGUUCCUGAGUCAAAUGAUAAUUCUGUUUUCAGUUCUGUGAGGAAUUGCCACACUGCUUUUUACAGUUAAACUAAUUUACACUCCCACCAGCAGAGUAUAAGCAUUCUCUUUUCUCUGCAACCUUGGUAGCAUCUGUUAUUUUUUGACUUUUUUAAAAUAGCCAUUCUGACUGAUGUGAAGUGGUAUCUCAUUGUGGUUUUUCUUUUAAUUUAUUUGUUUAUUUUUUUGAGAUGGAGCCUGGCUCUGUCACCCAGGCUGGAGAGCAGUGGCACGAUCUCAGCUCAUUGCAACCUCCACCUCCCAGGUUUAAGUGAUUCUCCUCUAUCAGCCUCCUGACUAGCUGGGACUACAGGUGCCCACCACCAUGCCAGGCUAAUUUUUGUUUUUUUAUUAGAGACAAGGUUUCACCAUAUUGGACAGGCUGGUCUUGAACUCCUCACCUUGUGAUCUGCCUGCUUAAGCCUCCCAAUGUGCUGGGAUUACAGGUGUGAGACACCGUGCCUGGCUUCUUUUUAAUUUCUUUAAUGAUUACCAUUGAGCUUUGUUUUUCAUAUGCUUGUUAGCCACAUGUAUGUCUUCCUUUGAAAAGCAUCUGUUCAUGUUUUUUGCCCACUUUUUAAUGAGGUUUGGUUUUUUCUUGUAAACUUGUUUAAGUUCUCAUUAAUUCUGGAUAUUAGACCUUUGUCAGAGGCAAAGUUUGCAAAUAUUUUCUUUUAUUCUGUAGGUUGUCUGCUUACUCUGUUGAUAGUUUCCUUUGCUGUGAAGAAUCUCUUUAGUUUAAAUAGGUCCCAUUUGUCAGCUUUUGCUUUUGUUGCAAUUGCUUUUGGUAGCUUCAUCAUGAAGUGUUUGCAGGUUUCUAUGUCUAGAAUGGUAGCUUUUAUGUUAUCUUGCAGGGUUUCUUAUAAUUUUAUGUUUUACAUUUAAGUCUUUAAUUUUUCUUGAGUUGAUUUUUGUAUGUGGUGUAAUUAAGGGGUUCAGUUUAAGUGUUCUACAUAUUACUAGUUAGUUAUUCCGGCACCAUUUAUUAAAUAGAGAAUUUUCCCCACAUUUCUUUUGUCAGCUUUGUCAAAAAUCUGAUGGUUGCAAGAGGGUGGCAUUAUUUCUGGGCUCUCUGUUCUGUUGCAUUGGUCUUGUGCACAUGAAUUUUUUAUAACAUCUUUCUCUCUUCUGCUUUUCCCCCCAUAAACAUUUUUUUUUUUUUUUUUUGGAGAGGGAGUUUCGCUAUUGCCAGGCUGAAGUGCAAUGGCAUGAUCUUGGCUCACCACAACCUCCACCUCCUGAGUUGAAGCAAUUCUCCUGCCUCAGCCUCCCAUGUAGUUGAGAUUACAGGCAUAUGCUAUCAUGCCCAGCCAAUUUUGUAUUUUUAGUAGAGACAGGGUUUCUCCUUGCUGGUCAGGCUGGUCUCCAACUCCCAACCUCAGGUGAUCUGCUUGCCUCAACCUCCCAAAGUGCUGGGAUUACAGGUGUUAGCCACCACACCUAGGCUAACAUUCUUUCAAGUGCAUCCUGUUUGCAAAACUUAGAUUACCAAGAGUUCAAAGACUUUUUAAAAAGUUCCAAAAAAAUUUUUCUUAUUCUCUUUUUCCUUAAGGGAUUUAGAUUAUGUGUAGAUAUUUUUCUCUGCUUUCUUGAAAUAUCUGUAAACCAUAUUAACAGUUAAAUAAACUUUGUCUUUUUUUUUUUUUUUUUUUUUACUUUAGAUUAUCUUUUCUAGUACAUCUGAUUUAUUGGUUUAUUUCUAAUUUUAAAAAGUUUGUUUCUCUCCUUUUUAGGACUUUUUUUUUUUUUGGAUGGAGUUUCAGUUUUGUUGCCCAGGCUGGAGUGCAAUGGCAUGAUCUUGACUCACCAAAACCUCCACCUCCCAGGUUCAAGGGAUUCUCUGGCCUCAGCCUCCCGAGUAGUUGGGAUUACAGUCACGUGCCACCAUACCCAACUAAUUUUGUUUUUUUAGUAGAAACGGGGUUUCUCCAUAUUCCUCAGGCUGGUCUCAAAUUCCCAAACUCAAGUGAUCUGCCCGCCUCAGCCUCCCAAAGUGCUGGGAUUACAGGCAUGAACCACCAUGCCUGGCCCAUUUUUAGUCCUUUAAAGUAAACACAAAUGUGUUUAGAUAAAAGCUCAUUUUAAGAGCACACAGAAGCUUAGCAGAAACAUAGGAUUAAAUUUAGCAAUAUGGAAUGAGAAACGCUAAAAGAUACUAAGUUUCUUUGAAAGUAACUUUAUUAUCCAAGGUAAUUAUCCAACAUUUGCAGGCUGAAGUACUUACACAGCAAAAACAAAAAGAGUUCAGUGCAUAAACUGAACAGUAGAGUCUGUAGUUGUACUUGGCUUUCUAUUGAUGACUUCAGAACAAUUAGCAUAGUUAUGUGUAGUGUUUGCAGACACUACACAUAACAAUACAUUCAUAUACAUUAAACAGUUUUCUUUUUCUUUUUUUUUAAUUUUUCUUUGAGACAGAGUCUCACUCUUGCCCAGGCUGGAGUGUAGGGGCGUGUUCUGCUCACUGCAACCACUGGGACCCAGGCUCAAGUGAUUUCUCCUGCCUCAGCCUCCUGAGUAGCUGGGAUUACAGGCACACCCCACCAUGCCUGGCUAAGUUUUUGUAUUUUUAGUAGAGAUGGGGUAUCACCGUGUUGGCCAGCUUGAUUGUGAACUCUUGACCUCAGGUGAUCCACACACCUCAGUCUCCCAAAGUGCUGGGAUUAUAGGCAUGAGCCAUAAACAGUAUUUUUUACAAUAGUAUGAAUAUAAAGCCACAAUACUUACUUUGAAUGAAUCACUUAAAUGGUUAUUUUAAUAUUGUUAUUUACACUUUUGAAAUAUAAACUAUUUUAACUGAAGUAUAGUUAAACUUUUUAACUGCCAUAUACAUUACUACUAGUUUAUUAAAAUUAUUUAUACUUAGAUAUUUAAUCUAAUACCCCAAAAAAUUUACUACCAAAUUGUUACAGUCAAUACUAGUCUGACAUGUUUAUUACUUUAUUCAAUAGGGAUAAUUAUAAGUAAACACAAUUUUAGUAUCUUUUAUUUCACUCAAUUGGAAUGCUGCUAUUACAAAUGAAAUAAAGACAGUUGAUGUGGCCACCCAAAAACCAUGAUAGCUCUUCAGUUAACUAUGUUGGAAGUUCUAAUAUACUCCACAAUGUGAACACAGUCAGAUUCUAUUUCUGCAUCAAAAAGUGUUGUUGGAAGUUGUCAGAUAUAUUUCAAUAUAGAACCCCCAUUCAAUGACUAGGAGAUGAGAGAGCAGCAGAGAUGGGAAAAAAAGCUUUAUAAAAUUCUUCUGAAAUUCUGCCCCCUUUCUUCAUAAUGCUCAUGUUUCUCAUGCUGAGAGUAAUUGUGCACUUUGGGUGGUUAGAGAGAAAUUGCUUUUAGGGGACUAUUUUCUGGCUGACUUGAUCAAUCUUAUAUCUAAACUGAGCUUUUUCUCAAGAUCUUUUUUCUCAAGAUCUUUUUAACUUUUUUCUCUCAAAAUUAUCUUGCUCAGAUGGAGAUCUGUUUUUCUCUCCAAUACUUUGGGUGUCUGUUUCAGAAGCCCUAUUAGUAUCCCAUGGUGUCUGAAUGAGGUAGGCUGUCACAGUGAGAACUUUUGUAGAUAUCUCUAUCUGGACUCAUGCUGGAAAUUCAUCCGAUUUUUUUUCCAUGUCACCAUGAUAAUUAAAAACGGGCUGAAACACUGGUCACAUUCCCAUUAUUGUGAAAGUGCAAUUCUACUCACAAGGCCUGCAGGCUCUCCUGCAGCUCAGGCUUUCCUCUCUGAUGUGACACUAGAGUGCUGCUGUGGGAAAUGUGGUUCACAUAAACUGAGCUGUGCUCAAGGCUGUCCCUCAGUGGCAGAUGAGAGAGGUCAAGAGGACACUAGCAACCAGGAAAAAGCAAGAAAGUGCUGUAGCCCAAUGCCAUGGAACACAGAGCCACUGCUGUAAAAUGUAAAUAGCCAAAAGGAUAGAAUGCUUUUCAACCAUUUUUGUAGCAGAGUGAAAACCUACCUUCAGCAAGUACCUGGCUUCAAGCUGCUAAACUACCUCCUGUUAUGAAGGUGUGAAAAGUUUUUUUGUUAUUGAAUAUAAACAAUUAGCAUAUACAGAUGGCCUCUUCAAUCUCCAUGUGAAUUUAGGAUGAACUAUGUAUGACAUGGUUCUGGAAAUUCUACUUGUGGACUAAUUUUGGUGACCAUCUUUCUGUCUCUGCAGUCUCUUAAGCAGAUUGACUAUGAUGCAUGUCACAUAAAACAGUUUUCUUUCUGUUCUAUUGUGGAGUUUUUCUGGGGCUGGAGAACAUUCUUUUGUUAUUUCCAAACACUGUCUAUAAUUACCAGACAUGAUAUAAACACAUAAGGUGCCAACUGGAAUUUACUCUAGAGGGGACUUUCCCUCUCAGACUUCCAGUCAACUCACACUUGUGCAACAAAGUGCAUGCUGUCCCCUAAAUAUGCAAGCAGAACUGUGUUUCUGCCUAUUUGGUAUCUAUAGUCCUCUACAGUCACUUCUAGAGAGACUAAACCAAAUUUCUACCAACUUCACAGGGCAACAAUCAAUAGUUUUAUCUCAAUGACUCUUGUAUCUUCAGACCUUAAACUGAUUCAGAGACCAUGGGGCCCACAAACCUAAUCAGAGUAACGUUUUCAUUGAGUACACAUUCAGACAUGAGAAUCUUCACUUUCCCCUUUUUUCUCUUGGUAAAAUGUUCACAAAUGUGCAGGUAACACCUGCUGCUACUCCAGCCAUUCGGGCCCUAAAUCUGCAGCUCUACAUUUUGUAUCUAGGUCUUGAGAUUUGGGAAAUAGAAAAUUUUUAUCUAAAAAUGCAAGUCCUUUUGGUUAUCAAACUCAGACAUUGAAAUGAAAGUGCAGUUACGCCUUUCUCCUCCUUUGAAAUAUGUAUUCAUCUCUUGAAACUGUUCACUAUUGCCACAAGUAGAUGUAUAUUAAACUGAUAAUACCACAUUGGACACUGUAUCUCAUACCCUAAACCAUAAUGAUAUAUGUCCAAUCAAUAACCAAUGUUACUUCUUUAAAUAAAAAUUUCUGACAACUCUAUCAGCCCACUCUCUGUCCCUUUGUUUUUGUCUUCACAACUCCUCUUGCAACUGCUGUUAAUGAAAGUGUAGAUUCUAGGCAACUUCAGUCUUUGCUCCCAGGUUAUAAUCCUUAAACUUCACCCAAAUAAACUGUCUACUUACAUUCAUGUUGUGUCAGCUUUUUUUUUUUUUUCAUGUAGGCUUAAUACUUAGAAAGUGCUAGAGCAGCCUCUAUUAGGGGAUCUCUUCUCUGAUUGUACUCCACUUGCUGUAACACCAAAGGAUGCAGAACCAGGUGGGUCCUACCUAGAAUCUGCAGAUAAGGUAUGGCUUCUGCCUGGGGUUUACAAAAAAGGGUCAGACUGUAAGAGUGUCCAGGAGGAAAUAGAAUCUGAUGGUAGAAUCUGUAAGUGUAAAUAAACAUCUUAGGAGUGAGACAUCAAGUCCACAAAAUAGCCAGAGCCAUGUGCACAACUAUAUUUACCUGUAAAAUGUGAUACUGGAGUAGAAUAUUUUCAUUCUUUCUCUUACCCAAAUGCUAGCAAAUCAGAAUGGGUGAUCCAGGUUCUUGAGCUCCACCAAGGCAGUUCCAUUUUCUACUUAGAGUCAGCCUGAGUCUCUCCAGCCUGGCUUAUCAUUGAGUCUCUCCAGCCUGGCUUAUCAUUGAGUCUCUCCAGCCUGGCUUAUUGAGACAUCAGCCCAUGGUCACUGGGAAUUCUCUCACAAUCACCUAGGUGUCUUUGAGGCAUUUGGGAAUAUCCAGAGCAGAGUUGUGUCAGGUUGACAAGAGUGAUUAAUUCUGCUUCUGUCUCGGUGUAAGAGAAAUCAGUCAUCCUGUGUUUUUGUUCAUCCUCUCAUACAAGAGGUAUCUUUGGUUGGUACUCAGAUGAGAGUUUAUCCAGUUUUCUGGUACUUGGAUGAUAAAUAAGGAGACCUGGAGACCCAAAUAGAUAAACUCAUUACUUCCAUUUUAUAUGGCCAUUAAAAAAAUACAUGAAGCAGUCAUUGUUCCUACAAUCCAGAAACUUUUAGUCUAGACUAGCAACUUCAUGAAUAAUUGAAUUAUGCAUCAUAUGGUUGGUGGAAUAUAUAGAUGUGUCCAAAGUCUUGGGCUUUAUUUAUGCCACUUUAUGCUGUUGUGACUUCUGAUAUCUACACCUGAAUAUAUUUAUGAACCGAACAAUUAUUAUAGUUUUGUUGUUUUUUUUUUAGACAGAAUCUCAGUUCCCCAGGCUGGAGUGCAGUGGCACGAUCUUGGCUUACUGUAAUUUCUGCCACUCGGGUUCAAGCCAUUCUCCUGCCUCAGCCUCCCAAGUAGCUGAGAUUACUGGCCACAGCCACGAUGCCCAGCUAAUUUUUGUAUUUUUAGUAGAGGCAAGGUUUCACCAUCUUGGUCAGGCUGGUCUUGAACUCCUGCCCUCAUGAUCCACCCACCUCAGCCUUUCAAAGUGCUGGAAUUGUGGGACUUAGCCACUGCACCCAGCCGUAUAGUUUCUAUUUCUUUUACCUUGCUAACUGUACAUAUUUAUUUUCCAAUAAAAUUACCCUAGGAAACCUGAAGGGAUUUCUUUAAAUUGCAUAUUAGUAUAUAGUAUAAAGUUGACAGGGCCGUGGCUAGAAAAUAUUAAAAUUACAGAAACUCUGGGAUUUAAGUUUCUUUUAGGUAGGCUUAGAAAAACAAAACUGGAAGUAUCCCAGUGGCAUAGAGAACAGAAUUCUACAAAGGAUCCUCACUCUGCCCCAGACCUGUUCAGAUUCACCUUUUUUGGAGGCUUUAUGUAGGUCCAGACCUACCCUGGAGUCUUGCCUCACAGAACUGAUUGGCAGAGAUCAGUUUUGGCUGGUGAAUCCUGCAGUAUUUCUAGAGCUGCUGCUCACAAUUUCCUGAAAUCCAAAAGCAGAUAAAUACAAAAAAAUAAAGUAUGUAUUUGAGGGUCUUCAUUUUUAAAUUUUCUUUUUUUUUUUUUUUUUUUUUGAGACGGAGUCUCACUCCGUUGCCCAGGCUGGAGUGCAGUGGCGCGAUCUCGGCUCACUGCAAGCUCUGCCUCCCGGGUUCAUGCCAUUCUCCUGCCUCAACCUCCGAGUAGCUGGGACUACAGGCGCUCGCCACCACGCCCAGCUAAUUUUUUGUAUUUUUAGUAGAGAUGGGGUUUCACCACGUUAGCCAGGAUGGUCUCGAUCUCCUGACCUCGUGAUCCGCCCGCCUCUGCCUCCCAAAGUGCUGGGAUUACAAGCAUGAGCCACCGCACCCAGCCGUUUUUUAAUUUUCUAUGAAAACCAUUGGAUGCAGAGACAUUCUAUUUAGCAACUUGUUUCUUAUUCCCGCAGAUCCAGUAGUUGCUCCGUAAGUCAAAAAAAAGUAAAUACAAACAGAAUAAAAUUUUCUCUAAACUAACCUCUUCCUUUUUAUGUCUCAUUCAUCUGUCUAUACUUAGCUUUUAUUCUAUACAAUUUUUAAAAAUUUUUGAUGACAGAAAAACAAGAAAUUAAAAUGCUUGGCUCUUUUUCUAAAUCCUGGUAAUUACCUUCUGUUUCUUCUGUAAACUUUAAAGAGCCAGCAAAGAAUAUAAAACUUUAGGAUGGAGAUGAGUUGUCCUUAUUUGUACCAGAGUUAUCUGAUUGUGACAACAGUGCUAAGUGUAAGGGACCCUGUGGUUUGCCUGCUUUUCUAACUAAUGUUAAUAAUGAGCCAAGGAGGAGUAACAUCAGCAUUGACAGGGGACUUGUUUAAAACACUGAUUCACAGACCCUUUUCAAACCUGCAGAAUCACAUUACUUAAAGUGUGGCCAGAAUUACCAAGUGAAUUAUAAGCUCAUUAAAGCUUGAGAGGCAAUGCUUAGCUUAGUGGUUAUCAGCCCAGGCUUCUCAUUAGGAUCACAUGGCCAAUAUGCAGAAAUCUCUUGUACCCUCACCACAGCUUCUGUUUAUUAUUCUGGUUGAAAACAUCCAUGUUGUUUUAAUGAAGGGCCUCAUGUGACUCUAAGGUGAGGCCAGAAUCAGGUAUGAGGCCUUCAAAAUAUAUUCAUGAGAAUUAAGUUCCACUUUUGGACUAAAGGGUAGCCACAGGGCCUGUUCUGUUUUGGCUUGGUAUGGACAGGUCAGAGUGGUGUAUAUUUGUAUUACUGUAUGAAGCAGGUACUAUGUGCUCAAGAUUGUGAUACAGAGAACUCUGCUGGGCAUAAUACAUUAUAUAAUUUAAUCCUCAUAACACCCUGGGAGCUGGUACUAAGGAUUUAAUACUAAUUUCCAGGAUUUAGAAAAAGGGCCCAGCAUUUUAAUUUCUUCUCUUUUUCUCUGCAGGUUCUGUAGCAGAAAUUGCUGGUGUCUGUGGCAGGGGAGGGCACCUGAGGACAGGGAAGAAGAAACAUAUUUUUAUCUUUAUGGAGCAGCACAUUGUUCCCAAAUACCUUCUGCUUUAAGGGACAGAAAUGGAUGGACUUUUUCUGUCUUUUCUGCCAGUUGAUGUCAUGCUUGCAGGGACCAUUGCAGUUUAGAGACGUGGCCAUAGAAUUCUCUCUGGAGGAGUGGCAUUGCCUGGACACUGCACAGCGGAAUUUAUAUAGGGAUGUGAAGUUUCAGAACUACAGAAACUUGGUCUUCCUUUAGAUUAUAUUUUCUUCCAUCUUCCGCAUCCUCCUGUUCUUCAGCCAAUAAAUGAAAAAAGAUACAGAGAAGACACAUUUGCUUUUUAUCCACUGCACUUCCACUCACUAUUAGUCAAUGUGGUUACAGCUGAGAAUAGCAGUUUUCUGGCAGGGCAGCCACUUCUCAGCAAUAAACAGCACACUGAAAAAAAAGGAUAAAUCCUUCAUAAAAAGCUAAUGAACUUUUUUUUUCCUGGAAACUUUAAAAUCCCUCAAAAACUGUUUAUUAUACAGGUGAAUUUUGAUAGUCAUGAUGGGCUUAUCGGUAGGAUUUCUGGUAGCAAGCACGGGCACCAGGACCUCCAAACUUUUUGGACUUGCAGCGACGGGGAUCAGCUACCAGCAGGGUCCGGUCAUACUGGAUGAGGAUGUCUUUGAUCUCCUUCUUGGAAGCCUCAUCCACAUAUUUCUGGUAAUAGGCCACCAGGGCUUUGGAGGUGGACUGACGGAUAGCAUAAAUCUGGGCCACAUGAGCACCACCCUUCACACGGACACGGAUGUCCACACCAGCAAAUCGCUCCUUGCCAAGAAGCAGAACUGGCUCCAGCAGCUCGUAUUGUAGCAUGCGCGGCUCAGUCAUCUCCAGGGGCUGCCCGUUCACCUUGAUGAGACCAUUGCCGCGUCUGCAGUGCGCCACAGCUGUGGCUGUCUUCUUGCGUCCGAAGACUUGCACCGAUUGCAGCGGGCCCUUGGACGGCAUGGCUGCGAGCGUGGACUAGAGAACCUCACCGCGCGGCGCUGCAACCGGAAAAGGCAAAAAGCUAAUGAACUUUAAGAAAAACAGGCAUAUGCAUCACUAAUGCUUGCGGUAAAAUAAAGAUUCAUUUUGUUGAUUGCUAUUGAGCUCUGGUACUAUUUAACCAAAAGCUAGCAAAUAUACAGCCGACAAAACAUGUUAUUUUAAAUAGGAAUACUGUGAAUGGUUAUUUUGUCAAUAUAAUUAAGAAUAUGACAUCACACUAAUAGUCUCACUUAUAGUUGUAUAACAUCAAAUGCUAUUUUUAAUUAAAAAUUUCAUAUAAGUAUUCAAUUUAUGUCACCCUCCUUUGCUAUUUCAAAGCCUUCUCCACUUUGUAUGAGUGGAAAACAGGCCAGCAGUUCCCAGGAAAGCACGUGGCGCUAUUGCUACUUUAACAAUGAUCGUGAAGAGCAUUUGUUUCGGUGCGACUCGUGUCAAACACUGUUCAAAUAUGUUUUAUGGGAUUUCAUUGACAUUUAAGUGUCUAAAUUAUCUGGAAUUUAACAUUUUUCAUGAACCUAAAUUGAAUAAUCUUUUACUAAAAGCUUUUCCGAGGCAGAGAAAGAUUUAUAUCAUUUUAUUAUCAUAUGGAAGAAGUGUGUUAACCAUGUUUUCAGUAAUCACUCUGAACACAGCAUUCUCAGCUCCCAGUAUGCAUCCUUAGUCACUCAGGGGAAACUGGUUUCUCUGUGAAGAGGUAGAAGAAAAUGCUGAGUGGAGGCACCACACUGCACAGCAAUGCUUUCCACAUGCACCUAUGAGGGUCUUCAUUUAAUUGGGCUGUUAUUUGCAUGGCUAGAUACUUACUGAAUUUAGUCAUACUAUUUUUUAGCAGCUAAUGGCAUCUGUUACCCAUUAAUUUUAUACAUUUGCUUUUUGAAAAACAAAUCUUUUGUUAAUUUACUCUAAUUGAGACUACAUUUACAAUCUUCAAUUUUUCAAUGUUAAAGCAAAUCAGAGAAGAGCAAUGUGUGUAUAUAGUGUGCAUUUUCCUGCCUAUCAAAGUUUUCCCUUCAUUGCAUUGGAAACCCAAGGAAGCCACCUAUAAAAUACUCCCAUUCAACACUUUGGCCUGGAUUUUAGAUUUCAGAAGGUCAAAAACAAUGACUGAGCAAAGCCAAAAUCUUGUUUUUGUUUCUUGUUAGUAAUCUGGCCAUUUCCAAAAGCAUAGCAAUUACGCCAAGCCAUUGAAAAGAUGUGGUUUUUAUUAAUUUUGUCCGUUUCCAAUGUUUUAUCUAUUUGUUACUUUUAUCACGUUAAUUAUUUAAAAUAAACUACAUAACCAAUCAUGCAUUCAAGAAA